GGCUUCGUAGCCCAGCCGGUAGAGCGCUUGCAGCAUUUUGGCAUGGUGUUUCUGUCGCUGGUUCGAGUCCAGCCGAAGCCC